GUGGAUGUGCCAGAGUGGUUAUUGGGCGCGACUAGAAAUCAUGUGGGGUUCCCCGCGCAGGUUCGAAUCCUGUGGUCCACG
rfam:Arabis alpina cultivar Pajares chromosome 1, whole genome shotgun sequence.